rnacentral:rRNA from 1 species
GACGAACGCUGGCGGCGUGCCUAAUACAUGCAAGUAGAACGCUGAAGGAGGAGCUUGCUUCUCCGGAUGAGUUGCGAACGGGUGAGUAACGCGUAGGUAACCUGCCUGGUAGCGGGGGAUAACUAUUGGAAACGAUAGCUAAUACCGCAUAACAGUAGAUGUUGCAUGACAUUUGCUUAAAAGGUGCAAUUGCAUCACUACCAGAUGGACCUGCGUUGUAUUAGCCAGUUGGUGAGGUAACGGCUCACCAAGGCGACGAUACAUAGCCGACCUGAGAGGGUGAUCGGCCACACUGGGACUGAGACACGGCCCAGACUCCUACGGGAGGCAGCAGUAGGGAAUCUUCGGCAAUGGACGGAAGUCUGACCGAGCAACGCCGCGUGAGUGAAGAAGGUUUUCGGAUCGUAAAGCUCUGUUGUAAGAGAAGAACGAGUGUGAGAGUGGAAAGUUCACACUGUGACGGUAUCUUACCAGAAAGGGACGGCUAACUACGUG